CCAUCAUGUUCAUAUUCUUGACUAUGUUCUGUGUUUUUUAGCUUUACUGUGGUCAUUUUCAUCUUCCAUUGAGUGAUAAUGAAAAAUUUCCUCAUCUUUACCAAAUAUCUCGAAAGGACACAUUUCUGCCUCUAGCCAUGGUGUCCCUAGUGGUUUUUUUCAGAUGGAACUGAAUAGGAGUGAUGAUUACAAAUAGUGACCAUGGAAUUCAAUUCCUUUCUGAACUGAGAGGAGAAAUGCAAAAACACAUUGUUUAUCGUUUGCGAUUUUUAUCCAAACUGAUAAUUCUAUGGCCCUUAAAGAGUAUGUUACAAAUUAUAACAAAAUUGUAAUGCAGUCAGCAAAAGUUGUGAUAGUUUAUGGAGACCAUGACUCUCCCAUAAAGAUUGUUCUUCUUUUGCGGAGAUCUGAAUGCAUUUUUAGAAUCUCGGUUAGUGUGUCACAAUUUGAUUUGAUCACAACUUUAGGAGAUUUCCUGCUAUACCCUCCACUGGGACAUUUAUUUUUUCACACCAGCAAUCUGAAAUAUUUGGUUUUGAACAAUUUAUCCAGACAGUAGACCCUUCAAACUACAGUAGUGAAUUUUUCUUUGCCAAACUAUGGUGGACAUAUUUUAGAUGUUCUUUGCCACCAUCUCAUUGUAAGAAGCUGAAAAACUGUCCAACCAAAACUGUAUUUAAAUGGUUAUUCAUGACACCACUUGGAAUGGUCAUGAGUGAUACCGCUAUAAUGUAUACAAUGCUAUGUAUGCUGUGGCACACUCACUCCAUGAGAUGCUUAUGCAGCAAGUAGACACAUGGUCAAAGAAUGCUGGGAGGGAACUGGAAUUUGACACUUAGAAGAUGUUUUCUAUUCUGAAGACAUUACAAUUUGUAAAUCCUGCUGGAGACCUAGUCAACAUGAACCAGGAUUUGAAACAGGAUACAGAGUAUGACAUUUUCUAUAUAAUGGAUUUUCAAAAAGAUUAUGGACUUAAAAUGAAAAUAGGAAGAUUUUCAGGUCAUCUUCCAAGUCAUCAACAGCUACAUAUGUCUAAGGAAAUGAUGGAGUGGGCUACAGAUAUGGAUCAGAUGCCACCCUCAAUAUGUACUAUGCCUUGCAGACCAGGACUCCAAAAAUCCCCUCAGGAAGGAAAGGACAUCUGCUGUUUUGAUAGUAACCCCUGCCCAGAAAAUGAAAUUUCCAACAUAACAA
rnacentral:lncRNA from 1 species